AGCUAUCGCCGCUGCCAACCUAUCUAUUGCUGCAAGCUAUCCCUCGCUGCUAAGCUAUCGCUGCCAACCUAUCUAUUGCUGCAAGCUAUCCCUCGCUGCUAAGCUAUCGCUGCCAACCUAUCUAUCGCUGCCAAUUUAUCUACCACUGCCAAUCUAUCUAUUGCUGCUAAUCUAUUGCUGCUGCCAAUCUAUCUAUCGCUGCUAAUCUAUUGCUGCUGCUAAUCUAUCUAUCGCUGCUAAUCUAUCCUUCGCUGCUAAGCUAUCUCUCACUGCUAAGCUAUCUCUCACUGCUAAGCUAUCCCUUGCUGCUAAGCUAUCCCUCACUACUAAGCUAUCUAUCACUGCUAAUCUAUCACUGCCAACCUAUCUAUCACUGCCAAUCUAUCUAUCGCUGCUAAUCUAUCGCUGCUAAUCUAUCACUGCUAAUCUAUCGCUGCCAACCUAUCUAUCGCUGCCAAUUUAUCUACCACUGCCAAUCUAUCUAUUGCUGCUAAUCUAUUGCUGCUGCCAAUCUAUCUAUCGCUGCUAAUCUAUUGCUGCUGCUAAUCUAUCUAUCGCUGCUAAUCUAUCGCUGCUAAUCUAUCGCUGCUAAUCUAUCGCUGCUAAUCUAUCGCUGCUAAUCUAUCACUGCUAAUCUAUCGCUGCCAACCUAUCUACCGCGGCGAAUCUAUCUAUCACUAUCAUUACUAGUUCAAAAUAGAACUAGAGCAUAAACACACUAAACUUCUUUUGAUAGGUAAUGAUUUUUGGUAACACUCAUAGCAUUAUAUCAUCUAUAUAGGGUAAAUCAUGGUCCCAUUUGGUCCCAUUUUAACAAAAUGGGACCAAAUGGGACCAGAAUCAGUAAUUUAUAAGAAGAACAUGACCUGGGACU
rnacentral:sRNA from 1 species